GGGAGCGAAUCAGAUUCGACGUUGGUGGUUGAAGCCGCACGGCAAGCCGUGGCGCCAAGACACGUUAAACUGGCAACGCACAUAGGUGCAAAACCAAACUUUAACGCCCUUCCUGCCGUAGCCUAGGCUGCUGCAAGUAGGGUGUAGGGGCAACAAGUCCUCUACCGCUCCUGCAAAAUCGUCUCCCUUCGCGAUCUGCUGCGAGUGUCAUAAAAAGUGAGGGUGCCCGUCGUUGACGCCGAUAGGACGACGCCAAGACUCAUCGGCUAGCGCAGUGUGAACCGAGCCCUUUGGGAAUACACGGCGCGAAGUUGCGCAAAGGGCUAAGCUUGUAGAAGUGCGAGAUUCGAAACCAGCGGACCCGGGGGGCAGGUCCCCGGCGCUUCCAUCC
rnacentral:tmRNA from 1 species